AACGAACGCUGGCGGCAUGCCUAACACAUGCAAGUCGAACGAGACCUUCGGGUCUAGUGGCGCACGGGUGCGUAACGCGUGGGAACCUGCCCUUAGGUUCGGAAUAACUCCCCGAAAGGGGUGCUAAUACCGGAUAAUGUCUUCGGCCCAAGGAUUUAUCGCCUUUGGUUGGGCCCGCGUUGGAUUAGCUAGUUGGUAGGGUAAAAGCCUCACAAGGCGACGAUCCAUAGCUGGUCUGAGAGGAUGAUCAGCCACACUGGGACUGAGACACGGCCCAGACUCCUACGGGAGGCAGCAGUGGGGAAUAUUGGACAAUGGGCGAAAGCCUGAUCCAGCAAUGACGCGUGAGUGAUGAAGGCCGUAGGGUUGUAAAGCUCUUUUAACCGGGAUGAUAAUGACAGUACCGGGAGAAUAAGCUCCGGCUAACUCCGUG
rnacentral:rRNA from 1 species